UCAACAGAAUAUUCUGGCCCCCUCAGCCCCAGAGCACCAACCAGGACCCCCAACAGGACCAAGGAUCUACCCAGGGCCAGGCUCCUGAUACUGGGUAUACACAUCAGCAGCAUGAUGCUGCUGGUGCUUCUGCUGCUGGACCAAGUCAUGUGACUUAUGUCCAGAUUCAACUGAACAAGUUGGACAAGAAAAAGAAAGUAAAGAGAGAUUAUCCAAAAUAAAAUCCUGUCUACUCUGAGGUGAAGACAGGUGAAGCCACAGCAGCUGGACCUGUUGAUGUGACCUAUGCUGAGGUUGACCUCCAAAAGAAAGUCAAAGCCAAUAAGAAGAGAGAAAAAGCAACCCCACCAGCGGCAGAUUGUCUUUUCUCAAGUGAAGCCACACACAGCCCCAGGUCCUUGAGGGAGAUGGAGGG